rnacentral:lncRNA from 1 species
AAUUAUUUGUUGUGGUUGUUGGGGGAAUGGUUGUUGUGGUUGCUGGAGAAUUGGUUCUUGGGGCUGCGGAAAUGGUUGUUGUGGUUGCCAGGGGGAUGGUUGUUGGGGCCGAGGAAGAGGUUGUUGGGGUGGUUGGGGGAAUGGUUGUUGUGGUUGUAGGGGGGUUGGUAUUUGAUAUUNNNNNNNNNNNNNNNNNNNNNNNNNNNNNNNNNNNNNNNNNNNNNNNNNNNNNNNNNNNNNNNNNNNNNNNNNNNNNNNNNNNNNNNNNNNNNNNNNNNNCCACCCUCUCGUGGGUCUUUGCUUCAUAAAUCAUUAUAAUUCCCAUAAAGAAUUCACAAAAAAAAUUGUCCAAUUCCGAGAACUUUUAUUUAUGCAUAAAAUAUAUUGAAGGUAGUUCCGUAGAAAAGAGCACCAGUGCGGGUUAGUUUUAUUCAAAUCAUGCAAAUUAGAGUCCAAAAAAAGAACAAAAGUGUUUGGAAAAGUAGAUACAUUGGAGACGUAUCAGCCAUCGACAAGGAGGAACACCCUUGUACUAUCAUUAUGCUCUGAUAAUUGUUAUGUCAUGCAGAUGGCUAGGCUGAGGCACUGCAUAUGUAGGGUGAAGAUGGUUUAGAUAUGAAAUCAUGUCCCUCAGGCCCUAGUAGCAAGCAUUAAGCAUGGCAAGGUCACAGGAACAUCAAUCUCAUAACAUAGUGGAUACUAGGGAUCAAGCCAUAUCAAAAUAACUCGAUUACAAGACAAAUAUUAUCCAAUCCAGCUAGCAUACAAAGGAAUUACUCACUCCCGUUGAAGAGCAUCAAGAUGGUGUUGAUAGAGAAGGGUUGGUCAUGACGACAAUGAUGAAUCUCCCUCUCCGGAGCCCCAAACUGACUCCAGAUCAUCCCUCUUGUGGACGAACGGGAGGUGGCAACAGCUCCAUCUCAUAGAACGCAAUGAAAACUUCUCUCCUACUUUUCUCCGGAAAUAAGAAUUUAUAGGAUUGGAAUUAGGGUAUGUGGAGCCACGAGGUGGUCACAAGCCAAGAGGGCGCGCUUAGGGGGGUGGUCGCACCCUGUUUUUCUUGGCACCAACAGNNNNNNNNNNNNNNNNNNNNNNNNNNNNNNNNNNNNNNNNNNNNNNNNNNNNNNNNNNNNNNNNNNNNNNNNNNNNNNNNNNNNNNNNNNNNNNNNNNNNAGAGGCAAGACCUAGAUUAUGUGUGUAGUGUAAAGUAAAAAAAAUGACUCAUCAUUCAUUAUGGAUCAUGACUUACAACCAGAUGAUAUUUGCAAAAAAAACAACUAUGUUGAGCAAUCCAAAAUCACACAAGUAAAGUAGUACCACCAAACACAACAUACCAAACGAUUAGUUGGAUAAUCUUAGGAGUACUUUUUCGAAAAGCAAGGGCAAGGAUGGAAUUAAACCAUACCAUGAUAGCUAUAAAUAAACAUGCACCAUCAUGGUUACCUUCCAUCAUCCAAACUUUACACACCAAGAUCAGAAACAUCUAUUCCAAGCAAGCAAUAGUAACCAAAAAUCCAACAUGAAGACGUUCCUCACCUUUGUCCUCCUUGCCAUGGCGAUGAGCAUCGUCACUACCGCUGGGCAGCUAAACCCUAGCUACCAAGAGUUGCAAUCACCACAACAACCAUUUCUGAAACAACAAUCAUAUCUGCAGCAACCAUAUCCACAACAACCAUAUCUACCGCAGCAACCAUUCCCCACACCCCAACAAUUUUUCCCCUAUCUACCACAGCAAACAUUUCCCCCAUCCCAACAACCAAACCCCCUACAACCACAACAACCAUUCCCCCUGCAACCCCAACCACCACAACAACCUUUUCCUCAGUCCCAACAACCAUUCACCUGGCAACCACAACAACCUUUUUCCCAGCCCCAACAACCAAUUCCCCAGCAACCACAACAACCGUUCCCCUAGCAACCACAACAAAUAAUUCCCCAACAACCACAACAACCAUUCUCCCUGCAACCCCAACAACCACAUCAACCUUUUCCUCGGCCCCAACAACCAUUCCCCUGGCAACCACAACAACCAUUUUCCCGGCCCCACCAACCAAUUCCCCAGGAACCACAACAACCAUUCCCCCAGCAACCACAACAAAUAGUACCCCAGCAACCACAACAACCAUUCCCCCAGCAACCACAACAACCUUNNNNNNNNNNNNNNNNNNNNNNNNNNNNNNNNNNNNNNNNNNNNNNNNNNNNNNNNNNNNNNNNNNNNNNNNNNNNNNNNNNNNNNNNNNNNNNNNNNNNGAGGUGUAAACGAUAGAUGUGAAUAGACCUGGGGGCCGUAGUGUUUACUAGUGGCUUCUCUCAUGAAAGCAAGUAGACGGUGGGUGAACAAAUUACUGUCGAGCAAUUGAUAGAACCGCGCAAAGUCGUGACAAUAUCUAUGCAAUGAUUAUAUCUAUAGGCAUCAUGUCCAAAACAAGUAGACCGAUACUUUCUGCAUCUACUACUAUUACUCCACACAUCGACCGCUAUCCAGCAUGCAACUAGUGUAUUAAGUCCAUAAGAACAGAGUAAUGCCUUAAGCAAGAUGACAUGAUGUAGAGGGAUAAUCUCAAACCAAUGAUAAAAACCCCGUCUUUUUACCCUUGAUGGCAACUACUUGAUGUGUGCCUUGCUACCCCUACUGUCACUGGGAAAGGUCACCACAUGGCAGAACCCAAAACCAAGCACUUCUCCCAUUGCAAGAAUCAUAGAUCUAGUUGGCCAAACAAAACCCAAGACUUCGAGAGACUUACAAGGAUAUCAAAUCAUGCAUAUAAGAAAUCAACAAAUACUCAAAUAUAUAUCAUAGAUAAUCUGAUCACAAAUCCACAAUUCAUCGGAUCUCGACAAACACACCGCCAAAGAAGAUUACAUCGGAUAGAUCUCCAUGAAGAUCAUGGAGAACUUUGUAUUGAAGAUCCAAGAGAGAUAAGAAGCCAUCUAGCUACUAACUACGGAUCUGUAGGUCUGAAGUGAACUACUCAUGAGUCAUUGGAGGGGCGAUGAUGAUGAUGAAGAAGCCCUCCAACUCCANNNNNNNNNNNNNNNNNNNNNNNNNNNNNNNNNNNNNNNNNNNNNNNNNNNNNNNNNNNNNNNNNNNNNNNNNNNNNNNNNNNNNNNNNNNNNNNNNNNNUCACAGGCCCCCUGAUCUUCUUCCGUUCGGGAAAAAAUCAUUUCGGGGAUUUUAUUCCGUUUGGAGUCCGUUCUAAAAUCAGAUCUAAAAAGAGCCAAAAAGACAGAAAAAGAGGAAUUGGCAAUUGGCACUGAAUUAAUAAGUUAGUCCCAAAAAAAUAUAAAAGGUACAUAAAACAUCCAAAGAUGACAAGAUAACAGCAUGAAACCAUCAAAAAUUAUAGAUACGUUUGAGACGUAUCAAGCAUCCCCAAGCUUAACUCCUGCUCGUCCUCGAGUAGGGAAGUGAUAAAGAAUGAAUUUUUGAUGCUUUCNNNNNNNNNNCUUAUGUGACGUGAAAGUUCAGAUCCAUUAGAUUCAAAACAAUAGUUUGCUAUUGACGUGGAAACAAUAAUACUUCAAGCAAACUAGCAAGGUAAUCAUGAACUUUCAAAAUAACAAGGCCAAAAGAAAGUUAUCCCUACAAAAGCAUAUAGUCUGGCUAUGCUCUAUCAUCAUUGCACAACGAAUUUAAAUCAUGCACAACCCCGGUAUUGGCCAAGUAAUUGUUUCACACCUUUACUUUCUCAAACCUUUUCAACUCUCACGCAAUACAUGAGCGUGAGCCAUGGUUUAUAGCACUAUAGAUGGUGUGGAGUGUGGUGGAGGUUGCAAGACAAAAAAGGAGAAGAUAGUCACAUUAACUAGGCAUAUCAAUGAGCUAUGGAGAUGCUCAUAAAUAGAUAUCAAUGUGAAUGAGUAGGGAUUUCCAUACAAAUGAUGCACUAGAGCUACGAGUAAGUGAAACCUCUUAAAGAAAACUAGUGUGUGUGCAUCCAACUUGCUUGCUCACGAAGACCUAAGGCAAUUUUGAGGAAGCCUAUCAUUGGAAUAUACAAGCCAAGUUAUAUAACGAAAAUUUCCCACUAGCUAUAUGGUGGUGACAGAACGAGAGACUCUCAAUCAUGAAGAUCAUGGUGCUUAAUAUGCACAAGUGUGGAAAAAGUGGUAGCAUUGUCCCUUCUCUCUUUUUCUCUCAUUUAUUUUGGUGGGCUCUUUGGCCUCUUUUUUUGGUUGGCUUCUUUGGCCUCUUUUAUUUCCUCACAUGGGACAAUGCUUCAUUAAUGAUGAUCAUAACACUUUCAACUCAAAACUUAGAGCAACAAUGACUCUAUAUGGAAUGCCUUCGGUAGUGUACCGUGGCAAUGAUCUAGCAUGGCAUAGACAUUAAUGGAAACAUUAUGCUAGCUAUCUUGCGAUCAUGCAAUGGAAAUGUAGACGUGGUGGCACAUGUCAUGGUGGUAGUUGCAUGGCAAUAUAUCUCGGAAUGACUUUGAAAGAGCAUGGUAGUUAGGUAUGGUGGAUGUUCUGAUGGAGGCUAAUGGUGGGUUUUGUGCACCGGCGGAAGUUGCACGGCACUAAAGAAGAUAGUGAUGGUGGAAGGUGAAAGUGCAUCUUAACCAUGGACUCAACAUUAGUCAUGAAGAACUCAUAUACUUGUUGCAAAAGUUUUAUUAGUAAUUGAAACAAAGAAUUCAACGCAUACUCCUAGGGGAAGGGUUGGUAGGUAUAAACCAUCGCNNNNNNNNNNUGCAAAGGAUGACAAUCAAUAGACUAAUCAUGCUCAGAUUUCAUCACAUAGCGGUUCACCAUACGUGCAUGCUACGGGAAUCACUAACUUCAACACAAGUAUUUCUAGAUCCAGAACACCUUACUAGCAUGACUUUAAUAUUACCAUAACCACAACUCAAAACUAAUUGAGAUAAAUCAAACUUCUCUAACUAUUCAAUGCACAUGAAGGUGGAAGUUUUCGUAUCCCUUUGGAUAACUACCCGUUUUGAGUCUACUUUCAAAACAUAGAUACACUACCAAGCCACGCACCGCUGUGCUCUAAAAUAUAUAAGUGAUGCACACAGAGCAAAAGUAUCUAGCUCAAAAGAUAUAAGUGAAGCACAUGUGAGCUGAAUUGUCUACCAAAAGAUAUAAGUGAAGCUCGACAAAAUCACAGUGAGUGCAUGUCUCUCUCUCUCUAGGUGUGCAGCAAGGAUGAUUGUGACACAACAAAAAUAAAAGACUCCUACGAUACAAGACACUCCAAGCAAAAACACAUAACAUGUGGUGAAUAAAAAUAUAGCCCCAAGUAACAUUAUCGAUGGAUUGAAGACGAGAGAGGGGAUGCCUUCCCGGGGCAUCCCCAAGCUUAGGCUUUUACGGAAUCCUUGAAUCUCUUGGGGUGCCUUGGGCAUCCCCAAGCUUGAGCUCUUUCCACUCAUUAUCUCUUUCACCAUAAGAACUUCACCCAAAACUUGAAAACUUCACAACACGAAACUUAAACAGAAACUCAUGAUAACAUUAGUAUGAGAAAGCAAACCACCAGUUCCUUAGGUACUGUAGAAAACUUAAAUUAUACAUAGGCUUAUGUUGGGUUACUGUAUUUUCAAUCUUCCAUGGCUAAUACCCCCCAAUACUAUCCAUAGUUUCAUCAAAAUAAGCAACCAACACAACAAAAACAGAAUAUGUUAACAGCAGACCAGUCUGUAGCAAUCUGUAUAUUGCGUAUACCUCUGGUACUUCAAAAAUUCUGAAAACUUACGACAGUCUGAAGAAUUUGCAUAGCAAUCAGCAGCAAAAAGAAUGAACUCAAAAGCUCUUACAGAAAAAAAAAUCUUUUCGUGAGCAGAAAGUUUCUGUCUUUUGCAGCAUGACCAAACGAUCAUUCCCAAGACUAAUCAUAACGGUUUUGCUUGGCACAAACGCAAAAAGAAACACAAAAAACACAAUCAUAACAAAAUUAUGAAAGUGUGGAAAACACAAAACAGAAAGAAAAAGGAUAGAUUCGUUGGGUUGCCUCCCAACAAGCGCUUUUGUUUAACGCCCUUAGUUAGGCGAAAGGUGAUGGAAUCACGUAUAGUCAUCUUUGGUGCUCAAACCAUAAGNNNNNNNNNNCCCUCUUCAUAGAUUCAUAAGGCAAUCUUAUUUUAUUUCUAGGAAAGUGCUCCAUGCCCUUCUUUAAAGGAAAUUGAAAUCUAAUGUUCUCUUCCUUCAUAUCGAUGAUAGCACCAAUAGUCCUUUGGAAAGGUCUACCAAGAAUAGUGGGACAUGAAGGGUUGCAAUCUAUGUCAAGUACAAUGAAAUCCACGGGUACAUAGUUCUUAUUUGCAACAAUAAGAACAUCAUCGAUCCUUCCCAUGGGUUUCUUGACAGUAGAAUCCGCAAGAUGCAAAUUAAGAGAACACUCUUCAAUCUCAUGAAAACCAAGAAUAUCACAUAAAGACUUUGGAAUCGCGGAAACACUAGCACCCAAAUCACACAAAGCAUUGCACUCAUAGUUUUUGAUCUUGAUUUUGAUAGUAGGUUCCCACUCAUCAUGAAGUUUUCUAGGUAUAGAGACUUCUAGUUCGAGCUUCUCUUGAAGAGAUUUCAUCAUAGCAUCUACGAUAUGCGCGGGAAAGGCUUUGCUUUGGCUAUAAGCAUUUGGAGAGUUUGCAAUGGAUUGCAUCAAAGAAAUGCAUUCAAACAAGGAGCAAUUAUCAUAAUUGAAUUCCUUGAAAUCCAAAGUGGGAGUUUCAUUACUAUCCAAAAUUUUGACUUCUUCUACUCCACUCUCCACACCUUUAUCAUCAAGAUGGGUGGACUCCGAAUCAUUGGGGCGUUUUUCAACCCAAGUGGAUUCAUAUCCAGGCCCUACAUAAAUAGGUUUGACACACGAAAACAAAGAUUAAAGAGGAGACACACCAAGCACUUUAAGAUCUUCGUGAUUUGCAUCACUAGAACGCACCCUUUUAAACCAUUCAUGCCUAGCGCGAAUUUGGGUGGUUCUUUCUUUGCUCUCAUUCAUGGAGACACGCAUAGCUUUCAAAGUUUCAUCCAAGUUGACCUUGGGAGGAGCGCAUCUAACUUUCAAAGCAUCAAUAUCACAAGACAUCCUAUCAAUGCUCUUAGCCAAAUCGUCAAUUUUGAGUAGUCUUUCCUCUAUGGACGCAUUGCAAAUCUUUUGAGAGUUAAUGAACUCUUUGAUAUUACUCUCUAAAUAAGAGGGUAAUUUGUUGUGAUUUCCAUAAGUGUUGUUGUAGGAACUGCCAUAAUUGUUAGAGGAGUUACUAGGAAAAGGCCUAGGAACAUAGUUUCCUCUAAAAGCAUUGUUGUUGCCAAAAUUGUUCGUACCAACAAAAUUCACGUCCAAACUAGCGUUGCUACUCUCAAUCAAAGAAGAUAGUGGCAAGUCAUUAGGAUCUACGGUAGCAUUUCUACUAGCAACCAAAUUCAUCAACUCGUCCAUCUUAGCACUGAGCGAGUUAAUUUCUUCUAUAGUGUGCACCUUUUUGCUAGCAGGCGACCUUUCAGUGUGCCACUGAGAGUAGUUGGUCAUGAUAUUGUCUAGGAGUUUUGUAGCGUCUCCUAACGUGAUUUCCAUGAACGUUCCACCUGAGGCGGAGUCCAAGAUAUUGCGAGAAGCGAAAUUCAAGCCAGCGUAAAAGAUUUGUAUAAUCAUCCACAAACUCAAGCCAUGAGCGGGACAAUUUCUAAUCAUAAGCUUCAUCCUCUCCCAAGAUUGUGCAACGUGUUCAUGAUCAAGUUGCUUGAAAUUCAUGAUAUCGUUGCGUAAGGAGAUGAUCUUAGCCGGUGGAAAAUACUUGGAUAUGUAAGCAUCUUUGCAAUUAUCCCAAGAAUCGAUACUAUUUUUAGGCAAAGAAGAAAACCAAGUUUUUGCGCGAUCUCGCAACGAGAAAGGANNNNNNNNNNUUUCAACUUAAUCACGUCAUUAUCCACAUCUCUUUUAUUUUGCAUAUCACAAAGCUCAAUGAAGGUAUUGAGAUGGGAUGCGGCAUCUUCACUAGGAAGGCCAGAGAAUUUCUCUUUCAUAACAAGAUUCAGCAAAGCUGCGUUGAUUUCAUACGAUUCCGCACUAGUCGUGGGAGCAAUCAGAGUACUAAUAAAAUCAUUAUUAUUACUGCUCGAGAAGUCGCAAAGUUUGGUGUUUUCAGCCAUGAUGACUUCAACAAACAAACAAGCACACAAGAAAGCAAGAAAACCGGCAAAGGGAAACGACAAAGUCAAAAAAGGCGAAGGAGAAAGGCAAAUGAAAACGACAAAUGUGAAGUGGGGGAGAGGAAAACGAGAGGCAACUGGCAACAAAAGUAAAUUCAAGAGAUGAGUUUGUGAGACCUACUUGGAUAGAUGUUGAUCUCUCCUCCCUGGCAACGGCGCCAGAAAUACUUCUGAUGUCAGCUGUGCUUCCCUGGUAACGGCGACAGGAAUAGUCGUGUCGACGGCACCAGGAAUCCUUCUGCUGCGGCUACGCCUUAAGGGACUUCCUAGGCAAAUAUGCAAAGGAUUUCCCCCGUGGCCUUGGAGCCUUGCGUUGGUGUUCCCUCGAAGCAGAAAGGGUGAUGUAGCAUAGCGGUGGUAAGUAUUUCCCUCAGUUUGAGAACCAAGAUAUCGAUCCAGUGGAGGAGUAUCACAAGAUCCUGCACAAACACAGAAAACUUGCUCCCAAUGCUAUGAAGGGUUGUCAAUCCCUUAUAGAUUGUUCGCCAAGUGAGAACUGAAAGCAACAAAGUAACAAAGAAAAGUAAAAGCGGAGGUGUAAACGAUAGAUGUGAAUAGACCCGGGGGCCGUAGUGUUUACUAGUGGCUUCUCUCAUGAAAGAAAGUAGACGGUAGGUGAACAAAUUACUGUCGAGCAAUUGAUAGAACCGCGCAAAGUCGUGAUGUCAUCUAUGGCAAUGAUUAUAUCUAUAGCCAUCACGUCCAAAACAAGUAGACCGAUACUGUCUGCAUCUACUACUAUUACUCCACACGUCAACCGCUAUCCAGCAUGCAUCUAGUGUAUUAAGUCCAAAAGAACAGAGUAAUGCCUUAAGCAAGAUGACAUGAUGUAGAUGGACAAUCUCAUAUCAACGACAGAGCCCAGCUUGUUACCCUUGAUGGCAACGACUUAAUGUGUGCCUUGCUGCCCCUACUGUCACUGGGAAAGGUCACCACAUGGUAGAGACCAAAACCAAGCACUUCUCCCAUUGCAAGAAUCAUAGAUCUAGUUGGCNNNNNNNNNNNNNNNNNNNNNNNNNNNNNNNNNNNNNNNNNNNNNNNNNNNNNNNNNNNNNNNNNNNNNNNNNNNNNNNNNNNNNNNNNNNNNNNNNNNNUACCCCAGCAACCACAACAACCAUUCCCCCAGCAACCACAACAACCUUUUCCUCAGCCCCAACAACCAUUCCCUUGGCAACCACAACAACCAUUUCUCCAGCCCCUACAACUAUUUCCCUAGCAAGCACAACAACCAUUACCCUUGCAACCACAACUACCAUUUCCGCAGCCCCAACAACCAAUUGGACAGCAACCACAACAACCAUUCCUGCGGCAACCACAACAAAUAAUUCCCCAGCAACCACAACAACCAUUCCCCCUGCAGCCGCAACAACCAUUCCCCGAACAACCACAACAAACACUUCCCCAACAACCACAACAAAUAAUUUCCCAGCAACCACAACAACCAUUCCCCAGCAACCUCAACAACCAUUCCUUCUGCAGCCACACCAACCUCAGCAACCUUAUGCACAACAAGACAUCUAGAGUGAUUUAGCCCUCUUGGGCUAAUGAAGCAAAAAGUUGUAAUACUAGAUGGGUGUAUCAUCGUUUUUUAGUCAAUGAGUGUUCAGUGUAAUGAUGAUAAAUAAAGUGAUGUGCACCAUCAUGUGUAAUCCCGACCUAUACUAGNNNNNNNNNNNNNNNNNNNNNNNNNNNNNNNNNNNNNNNNNNNNNNNNNNNNNNNNNNNNNNNNNNNNNNNNNNNNNNNNNNNNNNNNNNNNNNNNNNNNAUUCUGAGGUUGCCCUCCUGCUAGAUAGAAUUUCCCCCAUCAGAUAGAAUUUCCCCCAUCAGACCAUGACGGAUCAAGUAACAUAAACCACGUGUCUUCCAAUGCCAUAGAUCAAUGGAUGGAGACAAACUUCAUAACACCUAGAAUAAAUGUGUGUAAUAUAGAUUAGUAUAGCAAAAAUGGAUUAAAGCCAGCAGUUAUUAUAAAGUCCUACCAUAUGGAUGGUUAUUGAAUACUCUAAUUAGUAUUGUAAUAGAAUAGAUAGAUGGACAAAUGAACAAAUAAAACAACACAAAAUUUUGAAGAUACAUACCUCAGUUUAGUCUGUGGAGAAGCGGCUAUGAAAUCCAAAGUUNNNNNNNNNNUGAUGGGUGGAAGCAUCCAGCUACACAACACAAUUUGUAAAUACUAGUUGAGCAACACACGAAUCUGAUUGGAAAAAUAAGAGAUGACAAAAACACUGGUUGCAUCUGAGGAGGAACUCUACACAGGCAGAGGCCACGGACAGACACAUGCAACUUCUAAACCUUGCAGCCGUUACACAAAUCCUACCUUGCAGUUGUGACACAGAUCUAUCGAGGACAAAUUCUGAGGUUGCCCUCCUGCUAGAUAGAAUUUCCCCCAUCAGACCAUGACGGAUCAAGUAACAUAAACCNNNNNNNNNNNNNNNNNNNNNNNNNNNNNNNNNNNNNNNNNNNNNNNNNNNNNNNNNNNNNNNNNNNNNNNNNNNNNNNNNNNNNNNNNNNNNNNNNNNNGGCUUUCCUGCCUUGGCCCUCAAGUCCCCUCAUCUUCUUCCGUUCUGGAAAAAAUUAUUUUGGAGAUUUUAUUCCGUUUGGACUCCGUUCCAAAAUCAGAUAUGAAAAGAGUCAAAAACACAGAAAAAACAGGAACUGGCACUUGGCACUGAUUUAAUAAGUUAGUCCCAAAAAAGAUAUAAAAGGUACAUAAAACAUCCAAAGUUGACAAGAUAACAUCAUGAAACCAUCAAAAAUUAUAGAUACGUUUGAGACGUAUCAAGCAUUCCCAAGCUUAACUCCUACUCGUCCUCGAGUAGGGAAGUGAUAAAGAAUGAAUUUUUGAUGCUUUCNNNNNNNNNNGUUAUGUGACGUGAAAGUUCAGAUCCAUUAGAUUCUAAACAAUAGUUUGCUAUUAACGUGGAAACAAUAAUACUUCAAGCAAACUAGCACGGUAAUCAUGAACUUUCAAAAUAGCAAGGCCAAAAUAAAGUUAAACCUACAAAAACAUAUAGUCUGGCUAUGCUCUAUCAUCAUUGCACAACGAAUUUAAAUCAUGCACAACCCCGGUAUUGGCCAAGCAAUACAUGAGCGUGAGCCAUGGUUUUAGAACUAUAAGUGGUGUGGAGUGUGGUGGAGGUUGCAAGAAAAACAAGGAAAAGAUGGUCACAUUAACUAGGCAUAUCAAUGAGCUGUGGAGAUGAUCAUCAAUAGAUAUCAAUGUGAAUGAGUAGGGAUUGCUAUACAAAUGAUGCACUAGAGCUAAGAGUAUGUGAAAGCUCUUAAAGAAAACUAGUGGGUGUGCAUCCAACUUGCUUGCUCACGAAGCCCUAAAGCAAAUUUGAGGAAGCCUAUCAUUGGAAUAUACAAGCCAAGUUAUAUAAUGAAAAUUUCCCACUAGCUAUAUGGUGGUGACAAAAUGAGAGACUCUCAAUCAUGAAGAUCAUGGUGCUUAAUAAGCACAAGUGUGGAAGGAUAGUAGCAUUGUCCCUUCUCUCUUUUUCUCUCAUAUUUUUUUGGUGGGCUCUUGGGCCUCUUUUUUUAAAUUUUGGUGGGCAUCUUUGGCCUCUUUUAUUUCCUCACAUGGGAAAAUGCUCCAUCAAUUAUGAUCAUUACACUUACAACUCAAAACUUAGAACAACGAUGACUCUAUAUGGAAUGCCUUCGGUAGUGUACCGUGGCAAUGAUCUANNNNNNNNNNCAUGCUAGCUAUCUUACGAUCAUGCAAUGGCAAUGUAGACGUGGUGGUACAUGUCAUGGUGGUAGUUGCAUGGCAACAUAUCUCGGAAUGACUUUGAAAAAGCCAUAGUAGGUAGGUAUGGUGGCUGUUUUGAGGGAGGCUAAUGGUGGGUUUUGUGCACCGGCGAAAGUUGCACGGCACUAAGAAGAUAAUGAUGGUGGAAGGUGAAAGUGCAUCUAAACCAUGGACUCAACAUUAAUCAUGAAGAACUCAUAUACUUGUUGCAAAAGUGUUAGUAGUAAUCGAAACAAAGCAUUCAACGCAUACUCCUAGGGGAAGGGUUGGUAGGUAUAAACCAUCGCGCGAUCCCGACCGCCACACAAAGGAUGACAAUCAAUAGACUAAUCAUGCUCAGACUUCAUCACAUUGCGGUUCACCAUACGUGCAUGCUACGGGAAUCACUAACUUCAACACAAGUAUUUCUAGAUCCACAACACCUUACUAGCAGAACUUCAAUAUUGCCACAACCACAACUCAAAAUUGAUUGAGAUGAAUCAAACUUCUCUAACUAUUCAAUGCACAUGAAGGUGGAAGUUUUCAUAUCCCUUUGGAUAACUAUCCCUUUUGAGACUACUUUCAAAGCAUAGAUCAACUACCAAGCCACGCACCGUCGUGCUCUAAAAGAUAUAAGUGAAGCACAUAGAGAAAAAUCAACUAGCUCAAAAGAUAUAAGUGAAGCACAUGUGAGCUGAUUUGUCUACCAAUGGAUAUAAGUGAAGCUCGACAAAAUCACGGUGAGUGCAUGUCUCUCUCUCUAGGUGUGCAGAAAGGAUGAUUGUGACACAACAAAAAUAAAAGACUCCUACGAUACAAGAUGCUCCAAGAAAAACACAUAACAUGUGGUGAAUAAAAAUAUAGCCCCAAGUAACGUUACCGAUGGAUUGAAGACGAAAGAGGGGAUGCCUUCCCGGGGCAUCCCCAAUCUUAGGCUUUUACGGCAUCCUUGAAUCAUCUUGGGGUGCCUUGGGCAUCCCCAAGCUUGAGCUCUUGCCACUCUUUAUCUUUUUGUCCAUAAGAACUUCACCCAAAACUUGAAAACUUCACAACACGAAACAUAAACAGAAACUCGUGAUAACAUUAGUAUAAGAAAGCAAACCACCACUUCCUUCGGUAAUGUAGCAAACAUAAUUUCUACUUAUGUUGAUGUUGGGUUACUAUAUUUUCAAUCUUCUAAGGCUAAUACCCACCGAUACUAUCCAUAGUUUCAUCAAAAUAAGCAACCAACUCAACAAAAACAGAAUCUGUUAACAGCAAACCAGUCUGUAGCAAUUUGUAUACUCCGUAUACUUCUGGUAAUUCCAAAAUUCUGAAAAAUUACGAAAGUCUGAAGAAUUUGCGUAGAAAUCAGAAGCAAAAAAAAUUAACUCAAAAUAUCUUACAUAAAAAAAUGAAAAUUCUUUUCGUGAGCAGAAAGUUUCUGUCUUUUCUAGCAUGACCAAACGAUCAUCCCCAAGACUGAUCAUAACGGUUUUGCUUGGCACAAACGCAAAAAGAAACACAAAAAACACAAUCAUAACAAAAUUAUGAAAGUGUGGAAAACACAAAACAGAAAGAAAAAGGAUAGAUUCGUUGGGUUGCCUCCCAACAAGCACUAUUGUUUAACGCCCUUAGCUAGUCAAAAGGUGAUGGAAUCACGUAUAGUCAUCUUUGGUGCUCAAACCAUAAGUAGUGUGAUCAUUUAUCAUCUUAAGAUCUUCAUAUUUAUUGGAUGACUCACCACUAGCUUUAGGAACAAAAACAGUCUUGAUGGUCUUUUUGAGAGUGAGAUUUGGAGUAUUUUGCACAGCGGCAAAAGCGGAACCCAAGUUGGUUACGACAUCCUCUAGUUUACCAAUUCUAGAGGAAUCAUUAACUAUGGGUUCCUUCUCCCUUAAAUUUUUCAAGAACAUUCCCACUUUGGAUCCAUACUGAGUAAUUUGAUUGUGGAACUUUCUAUCCAAACUCUCAAUAAGUUCAACUGUAGCAAUUUUUUUAUCAAUAGCGUCAAGCCUUUUCAUCACGUGUUCCAAGGUCAAGGUAGUUUAAUUAAUCAUGAGCGGGGGUGAGCCAACCAAAUUCAUGAUAGCUCCAUAAGAGUCAAAGGUAUGGCUCCCCAAAAAAUUCCCGCCUACGAUGGUAUCAAGUAUAUACCUAUUCCAAGGAGAGAUUCCAACAUAAAAACUGCGAAGAAGAAUGGUAGUGGAUUGCUUACGAGUAGAUCUACUUUGAGCAUUGCAAAUCCGGUACCAAGCGUCCUUUAAAUUUUCUUCCUCAUUUUGCCUGAAAUUGAGAACUUCGUUCUCAGGGGUAUCGUUUGGAGUAGUGGGUCUAGCCAUUGAUGGACUAUCCCACACACAAACGAGCAGAAAGUAAGCGAGUGAAGCGAGCAAAAGAGAACGGCAAAGGAAGACGGCAAAAAGUCAAAAGGAAAUGGCAAAAGGGGAAAGACAAAAGAAAACGGCAAAUGUGAAGUGGGGGAGAGGAAAACGAGAGGCAACUGGCAAAAAAGGUAAAUACAAGAGAUGAUUUUGUGAGACCUACUUGGAUAGACUCUCCUUCCCCGGCAACAGCGCCAGAAAUACUUCUACUACUGCAAAAAAAGACCUUCCAACGGCGCCAGAAACAAGCGUGCUGACAGGAAACUAUUCUUGUCUUGAUACUCCUGAGCAACGGCACCAGGAAUCCUUCUGCUACGGCUACGCCUUUAGGGACUUCCUUGGCAAAUAUGCAAAGGAUUCCCCCGUGGCCUUGGAGCCUUGCGUUGGUGUUCCCUCGAAGCGGAAAGGGUGAUGUAGCAGAGCGGUGGUAAGUAUUUCCCUCAGUUUUGAGAACCAAGGUAUCUAUCCAGUGAAGGAUUGUCACAAGUACCUGCACAAACACAAAGAGCUUGCACCCAACGCUAUGAAGGGGUUGUCAAUCCCUUAUAGAUUGUUUGCCAAGUGAGAACUGAAAGCAAAAAAGAACCAAAGCAAAGUAAAAGCAAAAUUGGAAACGAUAGGUGUGCAUAGACCCGGGGGCCGUAGUGUUUAUGAAAGCAAGUAGACGGUGGAUGAACGAAUUACUGUCGAGCAAUUGAUAGAACCGCGCAAAGUCGUGACGUUAUCUAUGGCAAUGAUUAUAUCUAUAGGCAUCACAUCCAAAACAAGUAGACCGAUACUUUUUGCAUCUACUACUAUUACUCCACACGUCGACCGCUAUCCAGCAUGCAUCUAGUGUAUUAAGUUCAUGAGAAUAGAGUAACCCCUUAAGCGAGAUGACAUGAUGUAGAUGGACAAUCUCAUAUCUACAAUAAAAGCCCAUCUUGUUACCCUUGAUGGCAACAACACGAUGUGUGCCUUGCUGCCCCUUCUGUCACGGGAAAGUUCACCACACGGUAUGAACCCAAAACCAAGCACUUCUCCCAUUGCAAGAAUCAUAGAUCUAGUUGGCCAAACAAAACCCAAGACUUGGAGAGACUUACGAGGAUAUCAAAUCAUGCAUAUAAGAAAACAGUAAAGACUCAAAUAUAUAUCAUAGAUAAUCUGAUCACAAAUCCACAGUUCAUCGGAUCUCGACGAACAUACCGCCAAACAGGAUUACAUCGGACAGAUCUCCAUGAAGAUCAUGGAGAACUUUGUAUUGAAGAUCCAAGAGAGAGAAGAAGCCAUCUAGCUACUAACUACGGACCCGUAGGUCUGAAGUGAACUACUCACGAGUCAUUGAAAGAGCGAUGAUGUUGAUGUAGAGCCCUCCAACUCCAAAGUCCCCUCCGGCAGGGCACCGGGAAGGGUCUNNNNNNNNNNCUCGCGGACACGGAAGCUUGCGGCGGCGGAAAAGUGUGUUCGUGGAUUCUCCUAUUUUUUCUGUAUUUUAGGGAAUAUAUAGGCGAAGGAGCUAGGUCAGGGGGCGCCAGGGAGGCCACAAGCCUGGUAGCCGCCGCCCCCCUGGUGGCGGCUACAGGGCUUGUGGGUCCCCUGUGGCUCUCCUGCCUUGGCCCUCAAGUCCCCUGAUCUUCUUCCGUUCUGGAAAAUUUUAUUUCGGAGAUUUUAUUCCGUUUGGACUCUGUUCCAAAAUCAGAUAUGAAAAGAGUUAAAAAACAGAAAAAACAGGAACUGGCACUUGGCACUGAAUUAAUAAGUUAGUCCCAAAAAAGAUAUAAAAGGUACAUAAAACAUCCAAAGCUGACAAGAUAACAUCAUGAAACCAUCAAAAAUUAUAGAUACAUUUGAGACGUAUCAGUGGCCGCCGCUCCGUGUCGUAGAUCACAAUGGAAACUUCUCUUUGAUUUUUUGCUAAAUAUGCGAAUUUAUAGGACUAGAGAUAGGGUUGGGCGAGCCUCGUGGAGCCCACCACACAACAGGGUGCGACCUAGGGGGCGGCCUCACCAUGUUGCCUCGUGGCCAUGAGGAACACACCCCCCUCUGGCGCGUCUUUGCUUCAUAAUUCAUUAUAAUUGCUAGAAAAAAUUCACAAUGUUUUUUGUCCAAUUCCAAGAACUAUUAUUGAUGCACAAAAAUAACACCAAGGUAGUUCUGCUGAAAACAGCAUCAGUGCGGGUUAGUUUCAUUUAAAUCAUGCAAAUUAGAGUCCAAAACAUGAGCAAAAGUGUUUAUACAAGUAGAUACGUUGGAGAAGUAUCAGCCAUUGACAAGUAGGAACACCCGUGUACUGUCAGAAUGCUUUGAUAAUUGUUACGUGAUGUGGACGGCUAGGCUAAGGCACUACAUAUGUAGGGUGAAGAUGGUUCACAUAUGAAAUCAUGGCCCUCGGGCCCUAGUGGCAAGCAUUAAGCAUGGUAAGGUCAUAGGAACACUAUCACAGAACAUAGUGGAUACUAGGGAUCAAGAAAUAUCAAAAUAACUCGAUAACAUGACAAAUAUCGUCCAAUCCCAUCACCGUCCAGCUAGCAUACAAAGUAAGUACUCACUCCCGGUGGUGAGCAUUACGAUGGUCUUGAUGGAGAAGGAUUGGUGAUGACGACGGCAAUUAAUCUCCCUCUUCAGACCCUAAACGGACUUCAGAUCAUCCCCCUUGAAGAACAAUAGGAGCUGGCAGCGGCUCUGUCUCGUAGAACACAAUGAAAACUUCUCUGCUACUUUUCACCGGAAAUAGGAAUUUAUAGGAUUGGAAUUAGGGUAUAUGGAGCCACGAGGUGGUCACAAGCCAAGAGGGCACGCCUGGGGGGGGGGGGGGGGNNNNNNNNNNNNNNNNNNNNNNNNNNNNNNNNNNNNNNNNNNNNNNNNNNNNNNNNNNNNNNNNNNNNNNNNNNNNNNNNNNNNNNNNNNNNNNNNNNNNCGAAAGCAAAGUGUUUGUUUCUAGAAACGGAUCCUUUCUCGAGGAAAGGUUUCUCUCGAAAGAAUUGAGUGGGAGGGUGGUAGAACUUGAUGAGGUUAUUGAACCAUCACUUCAACCAGUGUGUAGCAGGGCGCAGGAAGUUGUUCCCGUGGCGCCUACACCAAUUGAAGUGAAAGCUAAUGAUGGUGAUCAUCGAGCAUCGGAUCAAGUUACUACAAACCUCUUAGGUUGACAAGGUCGCGUACUACUGCAGAGUGGUACGGUAACCCUGUCUUGGAGGUCAUGUUGUUGAGCAACAGUGAACCUACGAGUUAUGGAGAAAGCAAUGGUGGGCCCCGAUUCUGAAAAAUGGCUGGAAGCCAUGAAAUCCGAGAGAGGAUCCAUGUAUGAAAACAAAGUGUAGACUUUGGAAGAACUACUUGAUGGUCAUAGGACUAGUGAGUAAAGAUGGAUCAUUAAAAGGAAGACAGAUGAUGAUAGUGAUAAGUCACUAUUAAGAAAAGCUCGACUUGUCGCAAAGAUGUUUCUGACAAGAUCAAACAGUUGACUAUGAUGAGACUUUCUCACUCGUAGCGAUGCUGAAAGUCUGUUAGAAUUAUGUUAGUAGUUGCUGCAUUAUUUAUGAAAUAUUGCACAUAGGAUGUCAAAACAUUGUUUCCUCGACGGUUUCCUUGAGCAAACAUUGUAUGUGAUACAACCAGAAGGUUUUGUCGAUCCUAAAGAUACUAGCAAGUAUGCAAGCUCCAGUGAUCCUUCAAUGGACUGGUGCAAGCAUCUCGGAGUUAGAAUAUACACUUUGAUGAGAUGAUCAAAGAUUUUGGGUGUGUACAAGGUUUAUGAGAAACUUGUAUUUCCAAAGAAGUGAGUGGGAGCACUAUAGAAUUUCUGAUAGGAAUAUGUGGUUGACAUAUUGUGGAUCAGAAGUAAUGUAGAAUUUCUGUAAACCAUACAAGGUUGUUUGAAAGAAGUUUUCAAAGGAGUACCUGGAUUACGCUACUUGAACGUUGAGCAUCUAUGGAGAUAGAUCGAAAGCGCUUAAUAGAAGUUUCAACAAGAUGCAUGCCUUGACAAGUUUUUGAAAGAGUUCAAAAUAGAUCAACAAAGAAGGACUUCUUGGUUGCGUUAUGAGGUGUGAAUUUGAGUAAGACUCAAAAGCCGACCCCGGCAGAAUAAAGAGAAUAGACGAAGGUCGUCUUCUAUGCCUUGGCCGUAGAAUCUGAAGUAUGCCAUGCUGGGUACCGUACCUGAUGUGUGCCUUGACUCAAAGUCUGUUGAGAGGUAGAGAGAGUGAUCCAUGAUUGAAUCACUAGCAGCGGUCAAAAUUUAUCCUNNNNNNNNNNAGCCGUAGAAUCUAAAGUAUGCCAUGCUGUGUACCGCACCUGAUGUGUGCCUUGACUCAAAGUAUGUUGAGAGGUACAGAGAGUGAUCCAUGAUUGAAUCACUAGCAGCGGUCAAAAUUUAUCCUUAGUAACUGAUGGACUAAGGAAUUUUUCUCGAUUAUGGAGAGGUUAAAGAGUUCGUCGUAAAGGGUUACGUCGAUGCAAGCUUUGACACUAAUCCGAAUAACUAUGAGUAGUGAAACGGAUUCGUAUAGUAGAGUAGAUAUUUGGAGUAUUUCCAAAUAGCACAUAGUAGCAGCAUCUAUAAGAUGACAUAAAGAUUUGUAAAGAACACACGGAUCUGAAAGUUUCAGAACCGUUGACUAAAACCUCUCUCACGAGCAAGACGUGAUCAGACCCCAUAACUAUAUGGGUGUUGGAUUCGUUGGAAUCACAUGGUGAUGUGAACUACAUUAUUGACUCUAGUGCAAGUGGGAGACUGUUGGAAAUAUGCCCUAGAGGCAAUAAGAAAUUAGUUAUUAUUAUAUUUCUUUGUUCAUGAUAAUCGUUUAUUAUCCAUGCUAUAAUUGUAUUGAUUGGAANNNNNNNNNNNNNNNNNNNNNNNNNNNNNNNNNNNNNNNNNNNNNNNNNNNNNNNNNNNNNNNNNNNNNNNNNNNNNNNNNNNNNNNNNNNNNNNNNNNNAAAUGGUUGUUGUGGUUGUUGGGGGAAUGGUUGUGGUUGUAGAGGGAAUGAUUGUUGGGGAAUUAUUUGUUCUGAUUCCUGGGGAAAUGGUUGUUGCGGUUGUAGGGGGGAUGCUUGUUGGGGUCACUGCUGGGGGACUAGUUGGGGUUGGGGAAAUGGCUGUUGAGGUUGCAGAGGCUAUGAUUGUUGGGGUUGCUCGAAAAUUAUUUGUUGUGGUUGUUGGGGAAAUGGUUGUUGUGGUUGUUUGGGGAAUGGUUGUUGUGGUUGCAGAGGGAAUGGUUGUUGUGGUUGCUGGGGAAUUAUUUGUUGCGGUUGCCGCGAGACUGGUUGUUGUGGUUGCUGCACAAUUGGUUGUUGGGGCUGCGGAAAUGGUUGUUGUGGUUGCCAGGGGAAUGGUUGUUGUGGUUGCUGGGGAAAUGGUUGUUCAGGUUGGGGAAAUGGUUGUUGUGGUUGCUGGGGAAAUGGUUGUUGGGGCUGAGGAAAAGGUUCUUGCGGUUGCUGGGGAAAUGGUUGUUGUGGUUGCUGGGGUAUUAUUUGUUGUGGUUGCUGGGUGAAUGGUUCUUGUGGUUGGUAGGGAAUUGGUUGUUGGGGUUGGGGCAAUGGUUGUUGUGGUUGCGAGGGGAAUGGUUGUUGGGUCUGAGGAAAAGGUUGUUGUGGUUGCUGGGGGAAUGGUUGUUGUGGUUGCUCGGGAAUUAUUUGUUGUGGUUGCUGGGGGAAUGGUUGUUGUGGUUGCUGGGGAAUUGGUUCUUGGGGCUGGGGAAAUGGUUGUUGUGGUUGCCACGGGAAUGGUUGUUGGGGCCGAGGAAGAGGUUGUUGUGGUUGUUGGGGGAAUGGUUGUUGUGGUUGUAGGGGGGUUGGUAUUUGAUAUUGGGGAAACAAUUCCUCUGGUAGAUAGGGGAAAUAUUGUUGGGGUGUGGGAAAUGGUUGCUGCACUGGAAAUGGUUGUUGCNN